CACACACACACACUCUUUCAAGGAAGUUGGAUUGACUUGGUGUAAUAAUUUAAUCAUCACAUCAAGGAAAGUAGCAAUGCUUGCCAUCUUUUGGAAGGGGAGAGAGGAGACUUCUAAAAACCCCCCCACACAAUUCUUUAAGACCUCAAAUCAGGUGGGACUACCC
rnacentral:rRNA from 1 species